rnacentral:rRNA from 1 species
UACGUAGGGUGCAAGCGUUGUCCGGAAUUAUUGGGCGUAAAGAGCUCGUAGGCGGUCUGUCGCGUCUGCUGUGAAAAUCCAGGGCUCAACCCUGGACCUGCAGUGGGUACGGGCAGACUAGAGUGCGGUAGGGGAGAUCGGAAUUCCUGGUGUAGCGGUGAAAUGCGCAGAUAUCAGGAGGAACACCGGUGGCGAAGGCGGAUCUCUGGGCCGUAACUGACGCUGAGGAGCGAAAGCUAGGGGAGCGAACGGG